CUAUCACUUAGCGGCGGACGGGUGAGUAAUGCUUAGGAAUCUGCCUAUUAGUGGGGGACAACAUCUCGAAAGGGAUGCUAAUACCGCAUACGUCCUACGGGAGAAAGCAGGGGAUCACUUGUGACCUUGCGCUAAUAGAUGAGCCUAAGUCGGAUUAGCUAGUUGGUGGGGUAAAGGCCUACCAAGGCGACGAUCUGUAGCGGGUCUGAGAGGAUGAUCCGCCACACUGGGACUGAGACACGGCCCAGACUCCUACGGGAGGCAGCAGUGGGGAAUAUUGGACAAUGGGGGGAACCCUGAUCCAGCCAUGCCGCGUGUGUGAAGAAGGCCUUAUGGUUGUAAAGCACUUUAAGCGAGGAGGAGGCUCUUUUGGUUAAUACCCAAGAUGAGUGGACGUUACUCGCAGAAUAAGCACCGGCUAACUCUGUGCCAGCAGCCGCGGUAAUACAGAGGGUGCAAGCGUUAAUCGGAUUUACUGGGCGUAAAGCGCGCGUAGGCGGCCAAUUAAGUCAAAUGUGAAAUCCCCGAGCUUAACUUGGGAAUUGCAUUCGAUACUGGUUGGCUAGAGUGUGGGAGAGGAUGGUAGAAUUCCAGGUGUAGCGGUGAAAUGCGUAGAGAUCUGGAGGAAUACCGAUGGCGAAGGCAGCCAUCUGGCCUAACACUGACGCUGAGGUGCGAAAGCAUGGGGAGCAAACAGGAUUAGAUACCCUGGUAGUCCAUGCCGUAAACGAUGUCUACUAGCCGUUGGGGCCUUUGAGGCUUUAGUGGCGCAGCUAACGCGAUAAGUAGAC
rnacentral:rRNA from 1 species